rnacentral:rRNA from 1 species
GCGCACCAGGCGCGAAACCUCCGCAAUACACGAAAGUGUGACGGGGCCAUCCCGAGUGCCGUCCGCUGAGGACGGCUUUUCCCCAGUGUACAUAGCUGGGGGAAUAAGGAGAGGGCAAGCCUGGUGUCAGCCACCGCGGUAAUACCAGCUCUCCGAGUGGUGGGGACGCUUAUUGGGCCUAAAGCAUCCGUAGCCGGCUGGGCAAGUCCUCCGUUAAAUCCAACGAUUCAAUCGUUGGGCUGCGGGGGAUACUGGUCCAGCUUGGGGGGCGGGAGAGGCCGACGGUAUUCCCGGGGUAGGGGUGAAAUCCUAUAAUCCCGGGAGGACCACCAGUGGCGAAGGCUGUCGGCUAGAACGCGCCCGACGGUGAGGGAUGAAAGGCU